rnacentral:rRNA from 1 species
AGUAUGGUGAGAUUGCAUGAUAGCACCAUUAAAGAUUUAUUGGUAAACGAUGGGGAUGCGUUCCAUUAGGUAGUAGGCGGGGUAACGGCCCACCUAGCCGACGAUGGAUAGGGGUUCUGAGAGGAAGGUCCCCCACAUUGGAACUGAGACACGGUCCAAACUCCUACGGGAGGCAGCAGUGAGGAAUAUUGGUCAAUGGGCGAGAGCCUGAACCAGCCAAGUAGCGUGAAGGAUGAAGGUCCUACGGAUUGUAAACUUCUUUUAUACGGGAAUAAAGUAUCCUACGUGUAGGAUUUUGUAUGUACCGUAUGAAUAAGCAUCGGCUAACUCCGUGCCAGCAGCCGCGGUAAUACGGAGGAUGCGAGCGUUAUCCGGAUUUAUUGGGUUUAAAGGGAGCGCAGACGGGAGAUUAAGUCAGUUGUGAAAGUUUGCGGCUCAACCGUAAAAUUGCAGUUGAUACUGGUUUCCUUGAGUGCAGUUGAGGCAGGCGGAAUUCGUGGUGUAGCGGUGAAAUGCUUAGAUAUCACGAAGAACCCCGAUUGCGAAGGCAGCUUGCUAAACUGUAACUGACGUUCAUGCUCGAAAGUGUGGGUAUCAAACAGGAUUAGAUACCCUGGUAGUCCACACGGUAAACGAUGGAUACUCGCUGUUGGCGAUAUACUGUCAGCGGCCAAGCGAAAGCAUUAAGUAUCCCACCUGGGGAGUA